UACAGGGGGUGCAAACGUUGCUCGGAAUUAUUGGGCGUAAAGCGCACGUAGGCGGUUUGUUAUGUCGGAUGUGAAAGCCCCGGGCUCAACCUGGGAAUUGCGCGCGAAACGGGGGGGCUUGAGUUCGGGAGAGGAGCGUGGAAUACCCAGUGUAGAGGUGAAAUUCGUAGAUAUUCGCAAGAACACCAGUGGCGAAGGCGGCUCACUGGCCCGGUACUGACGCUGAGGUGCGAAAGCGUGGGGAGCAAACAGG
rnacentral:rRNA from 1 species